rnacentral:rRNA from 1 species
UACGGGGGGGGCAAGCGUUGUUCGGAAUUACUGGGCGUAAAGGGCGCGUAGGCGGCCUGCUAAGUCACACGUGAAAUCCCUCGGCUCAACCCUGGAAUGCCGGUGGAUACUGUCGGGCUAGAGUCCGGAAGAGGCGAGUGGAAUUCCUGGUGUAGCGGUGGAAUGCGCAGAUAUCAGGAGGAACACCGAUAGCGAAGGCAGCUCGCUGGGACGGUACUGACGCUGAGGCGCGAAAGCGUGGGGAGCGAACAGG